GAGGGCCACAGUUUGAGACGACUGGUCUACACUAUACUUGUUCCUCUAUAUAAUUGCAGGAAGGAAACUCCACCUCACUAUAGGAGAAGUGUCAUUGUAGUCCACCCCAUGCAGGAACCAUAUGCUAGGCAGCAGUCCCUUAUAUACAGCACUGUUCACAUUACUUGUCACAACCAGAGGGAGAAUAAAAACGCAUGGGGGACUCCACAGUCCUGAAUAUCACCGUGUACUCACUGCAGCAAGCGGCGCUAGUUGCGCUAUGGAUAUGCGCACGCAAAAAUUCUUACGUUACGAAUAUGCGCAUAAGCAUGGAAAUUUUGACAGAAUCACCGACGGGAGGUCA